CAGAAAGCUUCCGUGGAGCAGUGAUUUAUUUUAUUUUUUAGAUCUAGAUGUUUUGGCCGCAUUUAUUUAUUUAUUUCCAAAGGGCUAUUUUUGGCGUCUGCCUGGGCUCCUUUGUAGCAAAGCCCCCUUUUCUAGAAUUUCCUUUCCUUUAUUAGAGUUACAGCUCAGCUUUGUGCGGCCCCCGGGGGAGCCGGCCAGCCGCUGGCAAUUUCUCUCAGACACCCAAUUACCCCCUGACGUCAGUGCCGCCUCGCCCAGCUCCCCUGGGUGCUUCCAUUUUUCCCUUUGUAACACUAAUAGCUGACUAGCUAAGUGCCUGUCGGCUCCUUGGCAGAGGAGGUGAUUGUGUUUUCGGCUGGAUACUAAAUCCAAAAACUAUGUAAAAAUGUCAAUAGAAGGUUGGAGUUUUAAUGAUGCAGGCGGCUCCGGCGGCCGGGCUCGGCAGCGCGGCCCGCACCUUGGCUGACGGGCUGGGGUACCCUGGCUGGUAAUGAACUCUCAGAGGGUCCGGGAGCAGGGCGGCUGUGUUCCCAGCUGGCUUCCUGGGGAAUGUGGAGCAGGCGCCGGGCCCACCGCUUGCCAGGCCGAGGUCUGUGCGAGCAGAUAAAGUGAGGGGCUGAGGGCCUGGAACAGCUGUGGCGGGCCAGACUGACUGGGAGAGGCUGAUAAGAGCCCAGAAGGAGCCCAGGCGGGCGGCGUGGCAGCGCCAGAAAUCUGACGGGGUAUCACGACUGGCAAAGAAAGUUAAACACGGCCGGAUCGGGGGAUGGUUGGCGGACCUGCGGAGAAAGAUAAUGGUAAUUGAUGGAAUCAAAGUCGCAGCACAGCCUUGUGUUUUCUUGGCAAUUAAUUCCCCCACCCCUCCCCAGUUUCUAACCCCCUGGCAUUCUUAGAGCCCAGGAUGCCCCGUGAGCAGGCUGCACACUCAGAUAAUCAGCACAUGCCCUCCUUGCUUCGGGGGGCGGGAGCAAAGGAGAUGCAGCCAAGAAAAGACACAAUUAGAGACCUGGUUUAAAAAAAAAUGUUACAAACAAACAAGUCAGAAAAAGAAAACCCCACUGAAAAGUUAAGGACGUGUCACUCCGGGAGCUCAUCUGAUCUUGCUCUGGAAGGGAAGGAAGAAAAUCGAUGUCUUUGUAAGAGUGCCGCACUCUCCAUCUCCUGGCUGGGCAGGACAAUGUGGAGUCGGGCUGGUCCCUGCACACACACACACACGCACCCCCAGAUGCUGCUGUGGGGAAAGGCGGCGUAAUGGGGCAGUGGUUCAUGCCACAGACAGAUGUGCCCGCCUCUCCCCGUGUAUCCUCCUGCCCCCUCUGCCUUUUGUCCCUUGAAAGGCAUUGCUCCCCAACAAUGGGCUGGUUAAGGCUGAUUCGCAUCACCGCGGGCUCAUGCCGCCUGCCCGCACCGUAGGUAAGGCUUUCAGCUGGCCUUUUGUUGUGUCACUGACAACGUGCACACGCUGGGACACACCUGCUUGCAGAAACACGCGUGAACGCACAACUCUGGCACUCCUGCCCAUCCCACUGCACGGUCCAGGGUACUGCUUCCUGGGCCAGUCCUGUUGUGCCCCAGGGAGCCCCUGUGUUUGCUCCAGGAUCUUAAGCAAAUAAAACACUCCAAAAAAUUUCCCUAGAGUCUUUUGAAAUUAAAAUCAGUGUGCUGUAAACCUGCGUGUCAGUCUGGCAUACGAGACGCAGGCCUCCAAAUAACUGGAAAUUGUAUGAGGGAAUUGAUCAG
rnacentral:lncRNA from 1 species